UACGAAGGGGGCUAGCGUUGCUCGGAAUCACUGGGCGUAAAGCGCACGUAGGCGGAUUGCUAAGUCAGGGGUGAAAUCCUGGAGCUCAACUCCAGAACUGCCUUUGAUACUGGCGAUCUUGAGUCCGGGAGAGGUGAGUGGAACUCCGAGUGUAGAGGUGAAAUUCGUAGAUAUUCGCAAGAACACCAGUGGCGAAGGCGGCUCACUGGGUCAUUACUGACGCUGAGGCACGGAAGCGUGGGGAGCAAACAGG
rnacentral:rRNA from 1 species